GCCUCGUCCGGCAUCAAUUUUUUUUUCUGUUGGUGGUGCUGUUAUGGAAAAUUAAUUCGGGCUCUAAUGAUUUUUAUCCCUGAGGGAUUUAGUUUACUAAAUUACCGAAGGUUUAGGGGCCUCUAACGCAGCACAACUGAGAAUAGGCUCCUCCUCCAGAUGGGGCACCGAAACACUUUAUUGGAAUUUUUUCCACCAAUAGGAAUGCUGGAAAGGGGAAAAACAAGAUUAACGAUAUUUUUAAGGUGAAAUUCGUAGAUUUGAAGUAUGACAAAGGUAAUAAAUGGUAAUGCACGUCCUUUUAUUGUCUUAAUUGUUAAACUAUGUGACAACUAGCAUGUUUUUUCGUAUAUAACAAAGUAAACAAGCGGCCAUGUUGGACUGAUUGGGGUGCUUCAACAUUUGGGAAACAGAUGGCACCUUUGUCCUUGUUUUCUAAAUCAAAGUUAAAAAACUAGAUGUCACUAUUUCUUAUAGUAAACAAAAUUGGAAAACAGCAACAAUAACAACUAAAAAUAACCUUAAAUUCCGAAGGCGCCCAAGGGGCUUUAUUGACAAAAGCUUGUUGCCGCUCAGCAUUGUCGACGACCCCAAUUUUGUGGCAUUUGUAAAGUGUAUCGACGCAAGAAAAGGUUUUCCUUGCCGAAACACGAUCACUUAUAAUUACCACCCGGCGUUGUACGAAGAGGCUCGUCUUAAAUUGAUUCAUGAACUUGAAAGAGUGGACUACGUCGCCUUGACCACCGAUUGUUGGACAUCAUUGAAUAAUUACAGCUACCUCACAGUCACGGCACACUACAUCAAUCCCAAAAUGAAAAGGGUGUCUAGAGUACUUAGAACGGUUCAUAUGGAAAAUAACCACACAGCGGAUAACCUUAGGAACGAACUAUUCUCUAUAGUAGAUCGCUGGGGAAUCCGCAACAAAAUUGUCGGCGUAGUCACGGAUAAUACGGCGAACAUAAAAAAGGCAGUUUUUAUUAUUCGGCUGAGCGGCCGAGUUCAGCCGCAUCCAUACUGAUGAAUGUGGCUGGAUUCGGAUUCCAUGCUUUGCUCAUACUCUUAGCUUAGCUGUCAAAGAUGCUAUUCAAAAAAAUGACACUUUCAUGCACAUUUUAGAACGCUGCCGCGCAAUAGUUUCGUUUUUUCAUUUAAGUUCUGUGGCUACGGUCACGUUGACCAGGUUGUGCACAAACUUAUCUAAAAACAAAUUGCAACAGGAGUGCUCGACGAGAUGGAAUUGUACGCUAAUCAUGCUCCGCAGCCUGUUGCAACUGAAACAGCCAGUAACGGAUACCCUCAG